AGAGUUUGAUUAUGGCUCAGGAUGAACGCUGGCGGCGUGCCUAAUACAUGCAAGUCGAACGCAUUACUUCGGUAGUGAGUGGCGAACGGGUGAGUAACACGUAGGUAACUUACCUCUAAGACGAGGAUAACGACUGGAAACGGUCGCUAAAACUGGAUAGGAUCAUUUGAGGCAUCUCGAAUGAUUUAAAGGGGCUUUCAAGCCACACUUAGAGAAAGGCCUGCGGCGCAUUAGCUAGUUGGUGAGGUAACGGCUCACCAAGGCGACGAUGCGUAGCCGACCUGAGAGGGUGAUCGGCCACAUUGGGACUGAGACACGGCCCAGACUCCUACGGGAGGCAGCAGUGGGGAAUAUUGCACAAUGGGGGAAACCCUGAUGCAGCCAACGCCGCGUGAGUGAUGACGGCCUUCGGGUUGUAAAGCUCUGUCUUCAGGGACGAUAAUGACGGUACCUGAGGAGGAAGCCACGGCUAACUACGUGCCAGCAGCAGC
rnacentral:rRNA from 1 species